UGCUGCACAUGCCUCUGAGAUCCCAGGGUGGAAGCCCAUGGUUUCCUUAAAGGUUCUGAUCUCCACACCAGCAAGGCAGCAUGAACCUGCUGUACUGUCAGCAAUCACCUCCCUGCCACCACAGAAGGUUCUUACUCUUUGGCAAAGCAACGAGAAUAGUCAUCAGAGCUGCAGAAUCUACAGCCUUCUGUAGAGCCCCAGAGCUGCACACUCCAAGGAAGAAACUUCUUUACAGUGUCAGCAACAUUAUUCCUCUGCCUGCUGAAUGCACGAGCAAAGGUGAGCGUACAGUCAGAGCACAAGAGGGAAAGGAUGCUUUGGUCAGGUGACUGGACUCUCCACAGAGCUCUUAAAGAUGAUCCUACCUGAUACUUAUGCUUCAACAUAAAUAAACAGAGUAGGAACGUUAGAUCCUGAAACUCAUACUGGGCCUGAUCCUACAUGGACUAGUAAAGUAGAGAAAAAGAAGAAUGGGAAAAAGUCACAUUAUCUAACUUUAUUCUAUGAGCAAUAUGAUUGAAGCUAAUGGGAGCCCAUAAGGUUCUUCUUCAGUGCAAGCUCAAGAUGCCUCAGAAACCUGUAUGAGAGCAUUCAAUAUGAAAAUAUGUAUGAGACAGUAACUAUGUACUGAAAGAACGGCAGUCAUGAAUUGACCCAAGCACUACCUAACAGGACAAUGAGAGCACACAUUCAGUGGCCUUAGAUCGUCUUUCUGCUGGCCAGGAGAGGCACAUAUUUUAUGGAUAUCAAACAGGAACACUGAUGAAAGCAUGACAGAGGUAGUGACUUCUGAACUUCAGUGGAGAUGUCUCUUUUUCCUAUCAGGAAAACUAACUCCUGGCUACACACUGAAAGAGCUGCAGCAAGAAAAUGAGACCUAAUAUUAUCUUAGGAGCCAAUAUGUUCCUUUCAGUGGGAAAAUGGAAAGCCAUCAUUUUAAAUGAAAUUCCCUAAAUAGCGUUGCUGAUGAUAUUUUUUCCGUUUUUUAUUAACAAGAGGAAUUUCAGAUCUACAUGCCAAAGGAGAUGGGUUGCUGAUUAGAAUGGUUUGAUCACACACCAGCAGACAGAAGACCUCCUACUGCCUGC